CUCAAAAAACAAAAAACAAAAAAAAACAAAAAAAAAAAGGACAUGCAUUUUUCUGGGUCUGAAAAUAGAGUAUACACUGUACCAUCAUACAGAAAGGAUUUACCAAUGAAGACCUGAUUUAAAAAAGCACUCUUAUUCAGAUAUACCAAGAUAUAAUAUAAAAUAGGAGCUUAUAAAAAACAAGUAUGACAAUAGAACCCUUUUUGUUUUUGAACAAAAAUGCAUUUUAUACAAACUCCCUUAAAAUGAGUAAGUGAUAAGAAUGCUGUAUUUGAGGACACCGUGCCAGUCCAGUGUUCACUUCCAGCCCUCGCUGUGGAAAGUGACAGCAGUCAUGUUGAUAUUUGAGCAGAUGAGAGCCAGUGUGGGCAAGCUGCUCAAGGGUAUCAACAGGAACAAUCCUGAGAAGCUGGCCACCCUGGAGUGCUCUGUGGAGAUGCAGGUCAAAGAGAAUGCCUAUGAUCUGGAAGCCAACCCAGCUGUCCUGAAGCUGUACCAGUCCAACCCAGCAUUUUUUCAGACCACGAUCACUGCCCAGAUCCAGCUGAAGGCCCUCACCAACCUGCCACAUACCAACUUCAUGCUGUGCAAGUGCAUGAUUGGCCAGGCACAUCAAGAAGAGUGGCCAUCCGAUGCAUUUUGUACCUCAAGGACCUGGAGACCAGCCUCUUUCAGGCCUUCUGGCAAGCCUUAGAUGAAAACAUGGACCUCUUGGGAGGUAUAACUGGCUUUGAAGACUCUGUCUGAAUGCUUAUCUGCCCUGUCAUGGGUAUCACCAGCACAUUGACCGCUGACUGCUGGCCGAGAUGCCUGGGUAUCUGUCAGACAGCCAACUGAAGGUGUGGAUGAGAAAAUACACCUGGAGUGCUGAUGAGUCAGGGCAGAUCUUCAUCUGUAGCCAGGAAGAGAACAUUAAGCCCAAGAACCUUGUGGAGAAGAUAGACUUUGACAGUGUGUCCAGCAUCAUGGCCUCCUUCCAGUAACGGCAGGUGUUUAAUAAAUAUUUGUUGACU